rnacentral:rRNA from 1 species
AACGUAGGUGGCGAGCGUUAUCCGGAUUUACUGGGCGUAAAGGGUGUGCAGGCGGGUCGCCAAGUGGUGUAUGAAAUGGCCCGGCUUAACCGGGCAAGGUUAUGCCAGACUGGCGGUCUGGAGUGCGAGAGAGGGGCGUGGAAUUCCGGGUGUAGUGGUGAAAUGCGUAGAGAUCCGGAGGAACCCCAGAGGCGAAGGCGGCGCCCUGGCUCGCAACUGACGCUCAGACACGACAGCAUGGGGAG